AACGAACGCUGGCGGCGCGCCUAAUACAUGCAAGUCGAGCGAGAAGGUGUAGCAAUACACUUGUAAAGCGGCGAACGGGUGAGGAAUACAUGGGUAACCUACCCUCGAGUGGGGAAUAACUAGCCGAAAGGUUAGCUAAUACCGCAUACGAUUCCAGGACUUUCGGUUUUGGAAGGAAAGCACUACCGUGGGUAGUGCGCUCCUGGAUGGGCUCAUGUCCUAUCAGCUUGUUGGGAGGUAAUGGCUCACCAAGGCUUCGACGGGUAGCUGGUCUGAGAGGACGAUCAGCCACACUGGCACUGCGACACGGGCCAGACUCCUACGGGAGGCAGCAGUAAGGAAUAUUGCGCAAUGGGCGACAGCCUGACGCAGCGACGCCGCGUGGGGGAGUGAAGGUCUUCGG
rnacentral:rRNA from 1 species